rnacentral:rRNA from 1 species
UACGAAGGGGGCUAGCGUUGAUCGGAAUUACUGGGCGUAAAGGGCGCGUAGGCGGUACUUCAAGUCCGGCGUGAAAGCCCCGGGCUCAACCUGGGAACCGCGCUUGAGACUGGAGAACUAGAGUUCGGGAGAGGAUGGUGGAAUUCCCAGUGUAGAGGUGAAAUUCGUAGAUAUUGGGAAGAACACCGAUGGCGAAGGCAGCCAUCUGGACCGACACUGACGCUGAGGCGCGAAAGCGUGGGGAGCAAACAGG